GGUGGCUCAGCUGGUUAGAGCGUUCGAUGGCAAACGUGACUAGAAAUCUUUCUAUCAUAGCUGCGGGUUUGAAUCCUGCCACCA